GAGCUGUAUCUCUCAUUGAUCCAAGGUGUCUGAAGACCAGUAACUGAGGCAACCAAAAUCAGCAGCCCCUUUAAAAAGAAUGGCUUUAAGUGUCCAGAGGAACUACACAUUGAUCAAACAGGAAACAUUAAAAUUGCGAGUCUCAUCUUCUGCGGGGGUUCCGUUCCGCAGUUAGCACGUAAAGCGAAAACUGCGUGUAGUCAAAAUUACAUUGAGUUGAAUGGCUAGCGGAAUCGCCCGCACUACAGAAUACCUUCUUCAAGGGACAGCUAACAUAUACAGACUGCUAAGAG